rnacentral:rRNA from 1 species
ACUCAAAUGAAUUGACGGGGGCCCGCACAAGCAGCGGAGCGUGUGGUUUAAUUCGAGGCUACGCGAAGAACCUUACCUAGGCUUGACAUGAUGGUGGUAGGGAAGCGAAAGCGGACCGACCUUCGGGAGCCAUCACAGGUGCUGCAUGGCUGUCGUCAGCUCGUGUCGUGAGAUGUUCGGUUAAGUCCGAAAACGAGCGCAACCCUCGGGGCUAGUUACAGGUGUCUAGCGCGACUGCCCGUGAGAAACGGGAGGAAGGUGGGGAUGACGUCAAGUCAGCAUGGCCUUGAUGCCUAGGGCUACACACACGCUACAAUGGACGGCACAGCAGGGAGCGAACCUGUGAGGGGGAGCGGAUCCAAGAAAGCCGUUCGUAGUUCGGAUUGCAGGCUGCAACCCGCCUGCAUGAAGCUGGAGUUGCUAGUAACCGCAGGUCAGCCACACUGCGGUGAAUACGUUCCCGGGCCUUGUACACACCGCCCGU